UCCCUGGCAGUCCAGUGGUUAGGAGGCUGUGCUUCCACUUCAGGGGGCCCAGGUUCAACCCCUGGUCAGGGAA
rfam:Ovis aries breed Texel chromosome 4, whole genome shotgun sequence.